rnacentral:rRNA from 1 species
AGUGAACGCUGGCGGUAGGCCUAACACAUGCAAGUCGAAGGGCAGCACAGUAAGAGCUUGCUCUUACGGGUGGCGAGUGGAGGACGGGUGAGGAAUACAUCGGAAUCUACUUUUUCGUGGGGGAUAAAGUAGGGAAACUUACGCUAAUACCGCAUACGACCUACGGGUGAAAGCAGGGGAUCUUCGGACCUUGCGCGAUUGAAUGAGCCGAUGUCGGAUUAGCUAGUUGGCGGGGUAAAGGCCCAACAAGGCGACGAUCCGUAGCUGGUCUGAGAGGAUGAUCAGCCACACUGUAACUGAGACACGGUCCAGCCUACAACAGGAGGUAGCCGUGGUGAAUAUUGGACAAUCGGCGCAAGCCUGUUCCAGCCAUACCGCGUCGGUGAAGAAGUCCUUCGGGUUGUAAUGCCCUUUUGUUGUGAAUGAAAAGCAGCAGGUUAAUACCCCGCUGUUCUGACGGUACCCAAAUAAUGAGCCCCGGCUAACUUCGUG